AUUGCUUCUCGGCCUUUUGGCUAAGAUCAAGUGUAGUAUCUGUUCUUAUCAGUUUAAUAAUUGAAUUUUGAAAUAUCCUAGCUUAUAAUCAUUUAUUUAUAUAUUUUGACAGUACACAUU
ensembl:snRNA U2 U2 spliceosomal RNA